rnacentral:tRNA from 1 species
GCCUCUGUAGCUCAGUUGGUUAGAGCGCUGCUCCGGAAUCGCAGGGCCGUAGGUUCGAUUCCAACCAGAGGAC